ensembl:lncRNA
UUAACAAAUUUGUCACAUUUUUUGGGUUUGGCCAGGAUAAAUCACACCUUUUUAACAAAUUUUUAAUGUUGAUAUGUUUUAGAGUUUACUGAAAUGGUUGUUUAUAUAAGUAUAUGUUUAUAAAAUGUAUUUAUUUAUUGUAUUUUGUUAUUGCACUACCUGUGUAUGUAAAUAUAUAUUUGUUCCUUUUCAUAUGUAGCACAUAAUUAGUAUCAUAUUUUCUACAAUCUAAUGGUCGAUCUGUUGCACAACAUCGCUACACAAGUGCAGCAGUCUGACAGUGGAGCUCUCUGACUGAACAAGAUCUUACCAGGUUCUGUGGUUGACAUAUUCUUUUAAAUGCUGCUAUUUUAAUUUCUUUCUUUUUCACAGUCUCUGCCAGUUCUUCAGUUUUGUUCUUGUUGACAUUCUAUUUAUUGUUCAUUUUUAUGCUGUGCUUUGUUGUAUAUAGUUCCUUUGUUUUCCUGAAAUAAAAUGUGCUACAGAUGUUGACUCUUUUUUUCAUUGACAGCCAUGAUUGAGGGUGACAUGAUCGUGAGGGACUGCCGGGGACAUUUGUAUUGUGAUGAAAUGUCCAUCAUUAAUUGUAAAGAUUUUUAAACGUCUAAAAAAAACAUGAAAAUAUAGUUAGUACAAGAGAUUAGUUCAAUAGGGUUAGGGUUAGUGAAACUGCGAAUGGCUCAUUAAAUCAGUUAUGGUCCCUUUGAUCGCUCCACCCGGUACUUGGAUAACUGUGGCAAUUCCAGAGCUAAUACAUGCAAACGAGCGCCGACCCUCCCUCGCGGGCGGGGACGACUCUUUCGAAUGUCUGCCCUAUCAACUUUCGAUGGUACUUUAGGCGCCUACCAUGGUGACCACGGGUAACGGGGAAUCAGGGUUCGAUUCCGGAGAGGGAGCCUGAGAAACGGCUACCACAUCCAAGGAAGGCAGCAGGCGCGCAAAUUACCCAUUUCAGGAUUUCUUUGCCACAAGGAGUUACAACGACAACUCCCCAGAGCAACAUACCAAACAGGAGGGGAUAGCGCAGUGGAUAGGCCGCACAGGGCUCCCCGCACGAAUUGUCGAAGAUGAGGAGUUCAUCGCCAUGAUAGCAAAAAUGGACAAAAAGUUCAAAGUGACAAAAAGACAUUAAAAUUUUAAACUUGAUUGACAAAAUGUACAAAGAAGAGAAAGAAAAGAUCAAACAAAACCUGGCCAUAGUACACAGAAU